rnacentral:tRNA from 2 species
GCCCUGGUAGCUCAGCCCGGUUAGAGCGGCCGCCUUGUAAGCGGCAGGUCGAGGGUUCAAAGCCCUCCCAGGGCU